rnacentral:rRNA from 1 species
UGCGAGUGAAGCGGGACCGGCUCAAUGUGUGAAUCUGGCUUGGGGUAGUUCCCUGGUCCGAGUUGUGCACUAUGGACGUUUCGUCUGCGUUUGUAAUGGCGGUGGAAGUCCGUUGAAACACGGCACCUCAGAGGGUCACAGUCCUGUACCACCUGCCUGCACUCGCGCCAAUGACAAGCGCUCCUCGAGUCGCGUAGUUUUGUAAUGCUGCGCCAAGUGGGAGGUAGAGACCUUCUAAGGCUAAAUAUGAUGACGUGACCGAUAGCACACAAGUACCGCGAGGGAAAGGUGAAAAGCAACCAUGAAAAAUGGGUUGAAACAGUAGUGAAAGCGCUACCGGGAUAAGGGCUAUUGGGUGCUGGGGCUUCUCGGGUGUGCUUCAGUGCUACCCUUGGAGACGGCCCGCGUGGGUUGAUUGGGGUGAUAAACGCGCCGUUGGAAUUCGGCUGUCUUUGGACAGUGUUGUAGCCUUYGGUCGCCGUCCUCCUGCGAC